CCGGCAGCGCGCAUGCGCGCGGCGGGAGCGAGCAUACACCCUCACCCCACCCCCUCCCCGCGUACUAUAGAGUGCUGGGUGAAGGCUAGAGAGGAAACGCCUCCACCUGCUCUCUAUGGUAGUCGAGCCGCGAUGAGGAAACUGGUUUCACUUCAAACAUCCUCAUCCAGGUCCUCUGAGCCACAGAAAUCUGAUGACCUCCAUAAGGUGGUGUGAUAUCGCCAUUUCAAAAAAUACAUAUCCUGAGCCAUCAAAACAGUUCAUAUGGAAUAACUGUAUGCAGAAGAAAUGGCUCCAYUUCACUCAUAACUUCCUGAAAUAAUUCAUGCCCCUUACUGUGGCUGCCUGUAAGAUAAGGGUUUUGGUGCAGGAACAGUUGUCUCCAGAGUCUUUGGCAAUCCUCCCCCCCCCCCAAAUAACAUAGCACUGCUGAUGUAAUCRUUUCAGCUAUCAGGCUCCAGAGCGAUGGCCAACUGCUGCUUUGUAUGAAAAAAAAUCAGCAUAGGUUGAACGUAAAAAGUGGAACAGGCUGCACAGAUGUCAGGGAAAGCUGGGGAUAUUCAUGCUUAGAAGCAGGGCAGCUUUGUGUAAACUAAAAGCAUGUGAUUACAAACCAGCUUACAAAUUACCUUGGUUCUCACUGCCCCCCCGGAGAGUAGGUAACCUCAUGACAGCCCUAGCUGGCUAAGUACUACCCACUGCAGGGACAGAAUGGCUCUGCUUAGCGUAAUACGGCUUUCUUGUCCCUAUAUUAAUAUCUUUGUGUGCUAAGAGGAGAGACRCUCCCUGUCCCUACUCAGUUGUGCAACCAGGACUCCGAUCAUUUGCCCUUACCUCAUUUUGCAGUCUCCCAACACUGAUUUUCAUAGUUAAGCUGAAUCUGUUAAGACCAUGGGCAAAGGUUUCUUGGAGACUCUGGAGAGUUUCAUCUCUGUCRCUUAAAAUGCUAUCAGAUUCCAUUUUGAACAAAAAAAUAAGAAUGAUAAAAACCGAACAGGUAUAUUCUAGGUUAGCUGAAUUAUGGCAAAUAAUACUUAYAUUUCAUUUAGCUUUAGUAAGGAAUUAACUUUUGUAUAUCACACAUUUGAUGUGAAUUCAUUCUUUACAGUAUUACAAUAAAGAGGCCUUUGCCUGGCA
rnacentral:lncRNA from 1 species